rnacentral:lncRNA from 1 species
AAAAUCACACAGCAAUUCUGCUCUGAGCUCCAGGUUUCACAAUUGUCUUUCAUUACAGCCAUCUUGGCUGUAUGUCCGAUGUUAGAACAGAAGGUGCGGAGAGAAGGGAAAAUAGUGAAUGAAAAUUGGGUCUUCCCACAGGUUCUUUUGUACUUCUUUGCUUGUAAUAUGGCUGAACACCUGAGAUCUCAACACAUUUACAGCCCAGAAGAUUAAGGAUUAUUCUGUUCCUGUUUUGUGUGAGUUUGUCUCAGAGUGACAUUGGAUGACUGUCUCAAAGCAAGUCUGUUCUGUGGCUGCUGUGUAUUCACUCUGUAGAGAAUACCUUAAGUACUGCAGUGUGGAUUUACUGGAAGCUGAAGUACUUAUUACAUCAUCUAAAGCAACUGGUAAGUUUGGCAGGGUCACAGCUGCUUAUCGGGACCUGUUUAUGGCAUACAUGAAAAGAAAUGGCCUUUCCUAAAAAAAAAAUAAUGGAGAAAUCCAAUGUCUUGAAGGAUUUACACUCCCUUUAAAAGCGGUGGAGACAAC